AGAACGAACGCUGGCGGCAUGCCUAAUACAUGCAAGUCGAACGAAGGCUUCGGCCUUAGUGGCGCACGGGUGCGUAACGCGUGGGAAUCUGCCCCUUGGUUCGGAAUAACAGUUGGAAACGACUGCUAAUACCGGAUGAUGACGAAAGUCCAAAGAUUUAUCGCCAAGGGAUGAGCCCGCGUAGGAUUAGCUAGUUGGUGAGGUAAAGGCUCACCAAGGCGACGAUCCUUAGCUGGUCUGAGAGGAUGAUCAGCCACACGUGGGACUGAGACCACGGGCCCAGACUCCGUACGGGAGCAGCAGGUAGGGAAUAGUAGGACAAGUCGGGACGAAACGCCUGAUCCAGCAA
rnacentral:rRNA from 1 species